rnacentral:rRNA from 1 species
GACGAACGCUGGCGGUGUGCUUAACACAUGCAAGUGGUGCGACGAACCAGAGCUUGCUCUGGGGCAAAGCCGCGAACGGGUGAGUAACACGUGGGUAAUCUACCCCGAUGACCGGGACAACCCGAGGAAACUCGGGCUAAUACCGGAUGUGGUACGGAGACAUAAGUCUCUUUACUAAAGGUAGCUUCGGCUUCCGCAUUGGGAGGGGCCCGCGGCCCAUUAGCUAGUUGGUGGGGUCAAGGCCUACCAAGGCAACGAUGGGUAGCUGGUCUGAGAGGACGAGUCAGCCACACUGGGACUGAGACACGGCCCAGACUCCUACGGAGGCAGCAGUGGGGAAUCUUUGCGCAAUGCGCGAAAGCGUGACGCAGCAACACCGCGUGAGGG